rnacentral:rRNA from 1 species
UACGUAGGGUGCAAGCGUUGUCCGGAAUUAUUGGGCGUAAAGAGCUUGUAGGCGGUUUGUCGCGUCUGCUGUGAAAUUUCGGGGCUCAACCCCGAACUUGCAGUGGGUACGGGCAGACUAGAGUGUGGUAGGGGAGACUGGAAUUCCUGGUGUAGCGGUGAAAUGCGUAGAUAUCAGGAGGAACACCUGUGGCGAAGGUGGCCCUCUGGACGGAUACUGACGCUGAGACGCGAAAGCGUGGGGAGCAAACAGG